rnacentral:rRNA from 1 species
CCCUUAGAUGUUCUGGGCCGCACGCGUGCUACACUGAGUGGAUCAGCGGGUCAGGUUGCGCGAAAGUGUUUCCUAAUCUUGAAAUCCGCUCGUGAUGGGGAUUGACGGUUGCAAUUUUCCGUCAUGAACGAGGAAUACCUUGUAAGCGCGGGUCAUCAUCCCGCGCUGAAUACGUCCCUGCCCUUUGUACACACCGCCCGUCGCUCCUACCGAUUGAGUGGUCCGGUGAGGCUUUGGGAUCUGAGCGGAAAGAGCGUUUCGCCGUUUCUGCUCGGAAAACUCAGUCGAACCUUAUCAUUUAGAGGAAGGAGAAGUCGUAACA